rnacentral:rRNA from 1 species
GAUGAACGCUGGCGGCGUGCCUAAUACAUGCAAGUCGAGCGAACGGACGAGAAGCUUGCUUCUCUGAUGUUAGCGGCGGACGGGUGAGUAACACGUGGAUAACCUACCUAUAAGACUGGGAUAACUUCGGGAAACCGGAGCUAAUACCGGAUAAUAUUUUGAACCGCAUGGUUCAAAAGUGAAAGACGGUCUUGCUGUCACUUAUAGAUGGAUCCGCGCUGCAUUAGCUAGUUGGUAAGGUAACGGCUUACCAAGGCAACGAUGCAUAGCCGACCUGAGAGGGUGAUAGGCCACACUGGAACUGAGACGCGGUCCAGACUCCUACGGGAGGCAGCAGUAGGGAAUCUUCCGCAAUGGGCGAAAGCCUGACGGAGCAACGCCGCGUGAGUGAUGAAGGUCUUCGGAUCGUAAAACUCUGUUAUUAGGGAAGAACAUAUGUGUAAGUAACUGUGCACAUCUUGACGGUACCUAAUCAGAAAGCCACGGCUAACUACGUG